GACGAACGCUGGCGGCGUGCUUAACACAUGCAAGUCGAGCGGAAAGGCCACUUCGGUGGUACUCGAGCGGCGAACGGGUGAGUAACACGUGAGUAAUCUGCCCCUGGCUUUGGGAUAGCCACCGGAAACGGUGAUUAAUACCGGAUACGCCCACGUCUCGCAUGGUAUGGGGGUGGAAAGUUUUUUCGGCCAGGGAUGUGCUCGCGGCCUAUCAGCUUGAUGGUGGGAUAAUGGCUCACCAUGGCUUCGACGGGUAGCCGGCCGGAGAGGGUGACCGGUCACACUGGGACUGAGACACGGCCCAGACUCCUACGGGAGGCAGCAGUGGGGAAUAUUGGACAAUGGGCGGAAGCCUGAUCCAGCAACGCCGCGUGAGGGAUGACGGCCUUCGGGUUGUAAACCUCUUUCAGCAGGGACGAAGCGCAAGUGACGGUACCUGCAGAAGAAGCACCGGCCAACUAUGUGCCAGCCGCCGCAGUAA
rnacentral:rRNA from 1 species